rnacentral:rRNA from 1 species
GCCUAACACAUGCAAGUCGAGCGGAGAUGAUGUGAGGAAGUUUUCGGAUGGAAUCACAUUAUCUUAGUGGCGAACGGGUGAGUAACGCGUGAGCAACCUGACCUUCAGAGGGGGAUAACAUUUGGAAACAGAUGCUAAUACCGCAUAAGACCACGACCCGACAUCGGGAUGAGGUCAAAGGAGCAAUCCGCUGAAGGAGGGGCUCGCGUCCCAUUAGAUAGAUGGCGGGGUAACGGCCCACCAUGUCGACGAUGGGUGGCCGCGCUGAGAGGCUGAUCGGCCACACUGGAACUGAGACACGGUCCAGACUCCUACGGGAGGCAGCAGUGGGGAAUAUCGGGCAAUGGGCGCAAGCCUGACCCAGCAACGCCGCGUGAGGGAAGAAGGCUUUCGGGUUGUAAACCUCUGUCCUUGGUGACGAAACAAAUGACGGUAGCCAAGGAGGAAGCCCCGGCUAACUACGUGCCAGCCGCCGCCGUAA